UACGGAGGGUGCAAGCGUUACCCGGAAUCACUGGGCGUAAAGGGCGUGUAGGCGGGAUGCUAAGUUUGGCUUUGAAGACCAGAGCUCAACUCCGGGAGUGGGCUGGAGACUGGCAUUCUGGACCUCUGGAGAGAGAACUGGAAUUUCUGGUGUAGCGGUGGAAUGCGUAGAUACCAGGAGGAACACCAACGGCGAAGGCAGGUUCUUGGACAGAAGGUGACGCUGAGGCGCGAAAGUGUGGGGAGCGAACCGG
rnacentral:rRNA from 1 species